rnacentral:hammerhead_ribozyme from 1 species
CUCAGCUGACGAGUCCAAAAUAGGCCGAAACGCGUGUUCUGGAC